rnacentral:misc_RNA from 1 species
GCCAAACCAAAACUAACAAACGUUGAAACCUCUCGCUUUGUCGUUUUGGUUGAACAAACAAUAAAUAAAAUAAACAUAAAAAAAAAAAUUUAAAUCCAAAUUUAGCGUGUGAGACAGAGAGAGAGAGAGAGGGCGCCUUUGGACGAUACGAUUGCACGUAGAGCCAGAAGUCGUAAAAACAAGUUGCAGAGACUAGAAAGUGAAAGAGAGAGAAAUGGCUUCGCCGUUGCCGGAAUUGCAGGGAGGAGAAGGAAUAAUAUUGUCGAACUCGGCGAAGAAGGUGGAGUCGAAGGGUGGUUUGGAGAGCAGCGAUAAAAAAUCGCCGAUUCUUAUAUUUCUAUACUUCCACAAGGCCAUACGUAAUGAGCUUGAUUCGCUUCACCGAUUGGCCAUGGCCUUUGCCACUGGACAGACCGUCGAUGUUCGCUCACUCUUCGAACGGUACCGUUUCCUCAGAUUGAUUUACAAGCACCAUUGCAAUGCCGAAGACGAGAUAGUUGGCAUGAUGUCAUAAUAUUUUGGAAAUGCAGGUUAUUUUUCCAGCUCUUGACAUACGUGUCAAGAAUGUGGCACAAACAUACUCACUUGAGCACAAGGGUGAAAGCAGUCUUUUUGAUCAAUUAUUUGAGCUUCUGGAUUCCAAUAAACAAGAUGAAGAAAGCUUUCGCAGGGAGUUAGCUUCACGUACUGGAGCUCUUCAAACGUCAAUUAGUCAGCAUAUGUCCAAGGAAGAGGAGCAGGUAUUCCCAUUGCUGAUUGAGAAGUUUUCUUUUGAAGAGCAGGCAUCAUUGGUAUGGCAGUUUCUAUGCAGCAUUCCUGUCAAUAUGAUGGCUGAGUUUCUUCCUUGGCUUUCUUCCUCCAUAUCAUCUGAUGAAUAUCAGGAUAUGCACAAGUGUUUGUGCAAGAUAAUCCCAAAAGAGAAACUUCUUCAUCAGGUAAUUUUUGCCUGGAUGGACGGUGCAAAAUCGUCUAAUAUGUGUACAAGUUGCCAAGAUGAUUCUAAAGCCUGUUAUCAAGAUUCAGGUCCACCAGUCUUAAUCUGUCAAAGUGAGAAGACACAUUGUGCAUGUGAAUCAUCUAGACUUGGUAAAAGGAAAUAUAUGGAGCUACCUUGUGAUCUUGCCAAUUCAACCAUGUUCCAUCCCAUAGAUGAAAUUUUGCUUUGGCAUGCUGCAAUAAGAAGAGAGUUGAAUGAUAUAGCUGAGGCUGCUCGGAAGAUACAACUUCAUGGAGAUUUUUCCGAUCUGUCUGCAUUCAACAAGAGGCUGCAAUUCAUUGCAGAAGUGUGCAUAUUUCACAGGUGGAGUUGUCUGUGUUUUCUUAUCUGAUUGUUUUCUUCCCCUAGUGAACAUAACACUGUCCAAGUGCAGCAAGUAAUAUACCUCAAAAGUAGCAUGUUAAAUGUCCUUUAAUUUGUGGAUAGAGAUAAUUAUGGAUCUUGAUAUUAUGGCCUGAUGCAUGAACUACUAUCUCUUGGCUUGUUUUUAUGUUUUGACAUCCCAGUUUUGUCUUAUAUUUCAGAAACUUAUACAUGAUAAUGUAUGGAAAGCUUUGCAUAGUAAAAUUUCCUUGAAUUGCACAUAUUAGCAAUUAAAGGAAUUUGGACAUCACUGAGUCUUUCUUCUUUUAGUUUUGUGCUUUCAAUGGCUUUACUUCUAGUGGAUUUGAAACUCACUCUCUUUCUCUCUGCCUACCUCUUGAAUAAUGUGAUAGAAAUAUGUAAUAAUUAUUAUGACUAUAAUGACUAUUUGUCAUUGUGAAUGGGCUUCUGUUGUCUAUCUUGACCGCAGUAUUGCUGAGGACAAAGUUAUAUUCCCUGCUGUAGAUGCAGAACUCUCUUUUGCCCAAGAGCAUGCAGAAGAAGAAAUUCAGUUUGACAAGCUUAGAUGUCUGAUAGAAAGUAUUCAAAGUGCUGGAGUUAGCACAUCUCUUACUGAAUUCUAUACAAAAUUGUGCUUUCAAGCUGAUAAUAUCAUGGACACCAUACAGAAACACUUCCAAAAUGAGGAAGAUCAGGUUCUCCCACUUGCUCGAAAGCAUUUUAGUGCCAAAAGACAGCGUGAACUUCUUUAUCAAAGCUUAUGUGUGAUGCCUUUGAAAUUAAUUGAAUGUGUCUUACCAUGGUUGGUGGGAUCACUUAGUGAAGAAGAAGCAAAGUCUUUUCUUCAAAACAUGUGCAUGGCAGCUCCAGCUUCAGAUUUUGCAUUGGUUACACUUUUUUCUGGUUGGGCUUGUAAAGGUCAUCCUAGGAAUACUUGUUUGUCUUCCGGUGCCAUUGGUUGUUGUCCUGCGAGAAUUCUGACUGGAUCUCAGGAGGAGAUCAAACAAUCCUUCUGUGAGAGCUAUUCAUUAUCUAUAAAUGAAAAGUCUUCUUUUAUCCAGGCAGAUGAAGCAGAUGAUGGUAGAAGGCCAGUCAAGCGUGGAAACCUAGUAUUACAGGAAGAUGGUGUUGCUUGUCAGUCUGUAGGGACUGCUAGUGUCCCCAUAUUAUCUUGUGGUAAUAAGUCUUGCUGUGUCCCUGGGUUAGGAGUGAAUAGCAGCAAUCUAAGAAUUAGUUCUCUUGCUGCUGCAAAAUCUCUGCGUUCCUUGUCUAUUAGUCCUUCUGCUCCCUCCCUUAACUCUAGUCUUUUUAACUGGGAAACAGAUGCAAGUCCCACUGACAGUACUUGUGCUUCACGCCCGAUUGAUAACAUAUUUAAAUUUCAUAAAGCUAUACGCAAAGACUUGGAAUAUUUGGAUGUUGAAUCUGGAAAAUUAAAUGAUUGUAAUGAAACUUUGCUUAGGCAGUUUACUGGUAGAUUUCGUCUGUUAUGGGGCUUAUAUAGAGCUCACAGUAAUGCAGAGGAUGAUAUAGUGUUUCCAGCAUUAGAGUCUAAAGAGACACUCCAUAAUGUUAGCCACUCGUAUACUCUGGACCACAAGCAGGAAGAAAAACUAUUUGAAGAUAUCUCAUCUUUGCUUUCUGAGCUUACACAACUUCAAGAACGCUUGAAGAGUAUCAGUCUUUCUGAGGAGUUAAAUGGAAAACCUUCUGGUUUGUCUGAUCACAGUGAUGCUUUUAGAAAGUACAAUGAGCUUGCGACAAAGCUUCAGGGCAUGUGCAAAUCCAUAAGAGUAACACUGGAUCAACAUGUUUUUCGGGAAGAGCUUGAGUUGUGGCCUUUAUUUGACAUGCAUUUUUCAGUGGAGGAACAGGACAAAAUUGUUGGUCGAAUAAUUGGUACUACAGGUGCGGAGGUGCUUCAGUCGAUGUUGCCAUGGGUAACAUCAGCUCUUACUCAGGAGGAGCAGAAUAAAAUGAUGGACACAUGGAAAAAUGCAACUAAAAACACAAUGUUCAGUGAGUGGCUUAAUGAAUGGUGGCAGGGUACAUCUGCUACAACUUCACAAGCAACAACAUCAGAGAGCUGUGUAUCACUAGGCUCUGAUCUCCAUGAAAGCCUGGAUCACAGUGAUCAUACAUUUAAGCCUGGCUGGAAAGAUAUUUUCCGGAUGAAUCAAAAUGAGCUCGAAGCAGAGAUAAGAAAUGUUUCUCGAGAUUCAUCUCUUGAUCCAAGAAGAAAAGCAUAUCUCAUUCAAAAUCUAAUGACCAGCCGCUGGAUAGCUGCUCAGCAGAAGUCACCCCAAGCAAGAACUGGUGAAUUUUCAAAUGGUGAGGACAUACUUGGAUGUUAUCCUUCAUUUCAUAAUCCAGAGAAACAAGAAUUUGGGUGUGAGCAUUAUAAACGAAACUGUAAACUUCGAGCUGCCUGCUGUGGCAAGUUAUUCACAUGCAGGUUCUGCCAUGACAAAGUCAGUGACCAUUCUAUGGACAGGAAGGCAACAUCUGAAAUGAUGUGUAUGCGCUGCCUGAAAAUUCAGCCUGUUGGACCAGUUUGUACAACACCUUCUUGUGGGGGUUUCUCAAUGGCAAAGUACUAUUGCACUAUCUGUAAAUUUUUUGAUGAUGAAAGGAAUGUUUAUCAUUGUCCUUUCUGCAAUUUAUGCCGUGUUGGAAAUGGACUUGGUGUUGACUUCUUUCAUUGCAUGAAGUGUAAUUGCUGCCUGGCAAUGAAGUUAGUGGAUCACAAAUGCCGAGAGAAAGGUCUGGAAAUAAAUUGCCCCAUCUGCUGUGACUUUUUGUUCACAUCAAGCUUAAGUGUUAAAGCUCUUCCUUGUGGCCAUUUCAUGCAUUCAAAUUGCUUUCAGGCAUAUACUUGCAGUCACUAUAUCUGCCCAAUUUGUAGCAAAUCUUUGGGAGAUAUGUCAGUGUACUUUGGCAUGCUUGAUGCAUUGUUGGCUACAGAGGAGCUUCCGGAGGAAUAUAGGGACCAUUAUCAGGUACAUUUGCCCCCUAUAGAUGUUUUAUUUCGUACUUGGCUCUCUAUUGAAUGUCAAGUUUCUGUUGCAUUUAUUUCUGCUGAAAAGAACACACAAAGGAGUUCUGAAGACACAUUUGGUGUCCAAAACAUGUUAUCCUUGGGUGGAAUUGCAUUCAAUACCCAGGUUAAUGAAUUAUACGUUCCUAGUCAUCCAAAAAGAAAAUAAUGAAAGGGGAAAAAAAGUAAGGGAAGAAAUGUAAGAUAUUUUGGAAUGAAUUUUUCCUUUGAUAGCGUGGUUGCUGAUUCAAUCAUUGCCAAUUUGAUCAGUAGGGGCAGGUGUCGAUGAGCAGAGUUCGGAUUGGUCACUCUAUAGCUUUGCUCAAAUCAUCUCGAGAGAGAGAGCAGUGUUACGUGGGGAAUACAAGAUCUUAGCUCAAGCUCAAACCUUGGCUUGGAUUCAACCUAACCUAACUAUAAUAGUCUUUUACUGUUCAGUGGGAACACAUAUUUAUAAGCCUUAUUUUGAUAGUUUAUAAUUGCCAUUAUACUUGGCCUUAAAGGAUUCUAAUAUUCAUAAAACAAUGCAGGAUAUACUAUGCAAUGAUUGCGAUCGAAAGGGCACUGCACGCUUCCACUGGUUAUAUCAUAAAUGUGGAUUUUGUGGAUCUUACAAUACUCGGGUGAUUAAGAGUGAAUCAGCGAAACCCGACUCCUCUGCAUCACAUCAAUGAGAGGUUAGUCUGUACAUAGUUGUCAAUUCAAUCAAAUUUUCUGCCCAAAAGAAAAGCAGUUACUGGUCAUUACGUCUAUAUGUUCUGCUAAAAUGUGUCACUCCUGUAGAAGCUGUUGAAAAGAUUAUAUUCCCUUUGGUUUAGUUCCUUUAUAGAAUUGACGAUAGAAAAAGCAAGGAAGGGAGCAUUGCUUCCGAUUUCAAUUCGGAAGUAGUAGCAAUAGUGUGUUUGAAUACUGCAUUGUAUAGCCGCCAACUGCUCUCUCUCUCUCUCUCUCU